CCUCGCCAGCCCACCAGGAGCAUCUAGUUCUAAUCGAGCGUGGAGUGUACGGACAGAGCACUCACUUCCACAUCAAAAUCCACAAAUAAAUAGUUAUUUGACCAUCUCGGUCUCAGGACUUUAACCCCAUUGAUAACCUGUUGGUUUGAGUUUUAAGAGGACAGGACAUAAGUGCAGAUGAAUGAUAUAAAAGAUCGGGAAAGAUUCUGUAUGGAGGAAUGGUCUAAGAUCAGUGGAGGCUGGUGAGAGGAGCUAUAGGAGGACGGGCUCAUUGUAAUAGCUGGAAUGGAAUAAAAUCAAACGCAUGGAAACCACAUGUUUGACUCUGGUCCAUUUAUUCCAUUCCAUUACAUUAAGCCCGUCCUAUAGCUCCUCCCACCAGCCUCCUCUGUUUAAGAUUCCUACCAAUGUGUCCAAUCUCGUAAAAAAUUAUCCUUCCAAAGUAAGGUUUUGAAAGUUAUUGAAACAGGGGUGCCAAUAAUUUUGAUAACUCUUUUUGGAAGAAAUUAUACUAUAUGUUAAACAAAAUGUCUUUCUCCGAGCAAUUGUAUUAGUAUAAAAUAAUAUCUUUUUUUUUUUUUUUUUUUGCUUGCAAUAUACACUACAUGACCAAAAAUCUCAUUCCAAAAUCAUGGGCAUUAAUAUGGAGUUGGUUCCCCCUUUGCUGUUGUAACUGUCUCCACUGUUCUGGGUAGGCUUUCCACUAGAUGCUGGAACAUUGCUGCGGGUGUCACGCCCUGACCUUAGUAUUCUUUGUUUUCUUUAUUGUUUUGGUUAGGUCAGGGUGUGACAAGGGUGAUGUGUGUUUUGUAUUGUCUAGGGGUUUUUGUAUGUUUAUGGGGUUUUACUAGUCUAGGUGUUUUUUAUGUCUAUGGUUGCCUAGAUUGGUUCUCAAUUAGAGACAGCUGUUUAUCGUUGUCUCUGAUUGGGAACCAUAUUUAGGCAGCCAUAUUCCUUGGGUAAUUCGUGGGUUAUUGUCUAUGUCUAGUUGCCUGUGUCUGCACUAGUAUUAUUAUAGUGUCACGUUUGGGUUGUUGUUUUUGUAUAGUUUGUUAAGUGUUCUUUGUCUUCAUUAAAAAGUCUUACGCUGUGCCUUGGUCUCCUCCAUACGAUGAACGUGACAGCGGAGACUUGCUUCCAAUCAGCCACAAGAGCAUUAGUGAG
ensembl:lncRNA